GGCAUUUGGAAACGCCAUCCCCAAGUGGAAGCAGGGUCAGAGGGACAGGGUGGGUGAUUGCUGACCCGUGGCAAUCAGGAAGAGCAUCUGACUUUCUGUUCCUGAUUGAGAAAAAAUUUCUACUGGCCUGUGGGACAUCUUAGCAGAUAGAGAUAUGACAGAUUGAU
rnacentral:lncRNA from 13 species